UCCCAUCUGCCAUUUGGUCGACGCCGUUAGCCUUCUCUCCCCGGCGUGGCGUCGUGGUGUCAUCUCCCCUCGCCUGUCUUGAUCGCCACACCAGCGUCUCGUUCCCACGCUUACUCCCACCACGUGUCGGGCAGCGCGGGGUUAUGUUGUCCCCGGGGUCCGGCUCGGGAUCAGACCCCGUGUGACAAUUACCCAUGAGAAACGAGAGAUCUCCAAAAUGCAGUAACCGUCUUACCUUUGCAUCAUGAGAUUAAGUAAGUUGGACUAAAUAAGCAUGUCACACACAUUUUUUGUAACCUGUAGGUUGUAGUCUGAUAACUCCUUAAAAUUAGGGCAGGAUAAUGUUUCCAAGCUUAUCCGAGGAAACCUAAUUAUCUGAGUCGAAUAAUAUAAUCUAGGCUACUUGUCUUAUCCUUACAAUGAUCAAAUUGAAACUAAAUUAGUUUGAGUUAAACUACAACAAGGAGCAAAUGUGUUGUGAAACUAAAAGUGGGAUAAACUCAAAUCUUGGCCCGAUUAUCAAAUCAGCUCCAGAGGUGUAUACAAGAGGAAGGAAUAAAAGUAAAAGCAGUAGUGUUCUCUGGACGACGCCCGUUUUCUCCUUUUCGGGUCAAAUGUAAUCACUUAGAAAUUAAACAAAUAUCAAAGAUGUUGCGUUCCUUAAUUUGAAAAAUAAAUUCGUUUAAUCAUCGAUUAAAACUAUAAAUAGAAAGCUUAUGUACAUAAAGAGCUCCGAAGAAGAAGAAACACGGACUUGCUAAUGAAAAGUAUAUAAAAUGCCAGCCGUGAGAAAUCCACGAGAAAGAUGGGAGAUAAGGGGGGACCCUGCUUACCGUCAGCGCCGUGAGUUCUCGCCGCCACCAGCGGGCAGAAGAGGAGAACGGACUGCCGCCG
rnacentral:lncRNA from 1 species